UUUAGCUGAAGGUCAACAGAGAAGAACAGCUCACGAGUCCUGUUUUGGAAGGGAUGAAGAGUGACACAUGACAAUUAACAGUUGAAGCAUACCAGGAACCCAUGGGGAAUAGAUCCCAAGGCUGUCCCAUUGGCCCUUCCUCUUCGAACAGCUUGGCUUCUCCUGACUGCAGCUAACGAAGCUAUUCCGGAAUCAGGGAGACAGAAUUAGAGUUAGA